rnacentral:rRNA from 1 species
UGGGGGAUAUUGCACAAUGGGCGAAAGCCUGAUGCAGCGACGCCGCGUGGGGGAUGAAGGCUUUCGGGUUGUAAACCUCUUUCGCUAUCGAACAAGGCCCGCUUAGGGUGGGUUGAGGGUAGGUGGAGAAGAAGCGCCGGCUAACUACGUGCCAGCAGCCGCGGUAAUACGUAGGGCGCGAGCGUUGUCCGGAAUUAUUGGGCGUAAAGGGCUUGUAGGCGGCUUGUUGCGCCUGCUGUGAAAACGCGGGGCUUAACUUCGCGCGUGCAGUGGGUACGGGCAGGCUUGAGUGUGGUAGGGGUGACUGGAAUUCCAGGUGUAGCGGUGGAAUGCGCAGAUAUCUGGAGGAACACCGAUGGCGAAGGCAGGCCACUGGGCCAUUACUGACGCUGAGGAGCGAAAGCAUGGGUAGCGAACAGG